UGGGGAAUUUUGGACAAUGGGCGAAAGCCUGAUCCAGCAAUGCCGCGUGUGUGAAGAAGGCCUUCGGGUUGUAAAGCACUUUUGUCCGGAAAGAAAUCCUUGGCUCUAAUACAGUCGGGGGAUGACGGUACCGGAAGAAUAAGCACCGGCUAACUACGUGCCAGCAGCCGCGGUAAUACGUAGGGUGCAAGCGUUAAUCGGAAUUACUGGGCGUAAAGCGUGCGCAGGCGGUUUGCUAAGACCGAUGUGAAAUCCCCGGGCUCAACCUGGGAACUGCAUUGGUGACUGGCAGGCUAGAGUAUGGCAGAGGGGGGUAGAAUUCCACGUGUGAGCAGUGAAAUGCGUAGAGAUGUGGAGGAAUACCGAUGGCGAAGGCAGCCCCCUGGGGCCAAAUACUGACGCUCAUGCAGCG
rnacentral:rRNA from 1 species